rnacentral:lncRNA from 10 species
UUCAGUCUUCAGACUGAAGAGAAUAUACCUUCGUUUUAUGAUGAUUUUUCUGGCCAUCUCAUCUUAACUGGGUCUUUCCCUACACUUUCUUUCUUUGUAGUUUAAAUUACACCUUUGAGAUCUAUUCUAGAGAUUACUCAUCUCUCUGAUUUAUCUCCCAUGGAUACAAGAGGAAUAUAUGCUAUUAAACUACUGUUUGUUUUUCUCUUGUUAAUCUGUCUUUUGUUACAGAGAAGCUCAGCUAAGAACUCAGGAAGGGUGGAGGAGAAAAUUAUUUUUCCUGCCCUGUAUGGAUGAGAUGGGUGGCAAACAAACACUUAACUGGCAAUGCUGAGUGGCAUGGAGAACAUGAAGUUGAGAGCAGCUCGGGAAGGCUGGUGUGUGCUAGUGGGGUCGUUAUUUUCAGUAGGAUGAUGGGGAAGGACCUCACUAGCAGAGGAAUCCUGAGCAGAGACCUGGAAGAUCUGGAGAAGCCCAUGUAUUCACAGGUGGAAUAGGGGUGGCACUCAGAGGGAAUGGCAAGUAUGAAAGCCCUAAAUUGGGGUGUCCUGAAUGUGUUGGAAGAGCAAGGAGGCUGGUGUGGCUGGAGAGAAGUUGUAACACUGAUAAGUUCAUUGCCCCAUGCACACAGCAUGUCUCCAGGUUGCAGCAGAGAAAGGGGUUCAAUCCUAGGGUCACUGAACGAGGAGACGGGAGGAAAUCUCAAGUCCGUUUCCCCAAGGAGUUUGGAAGUUAGGGUUUUUAAAGGUUUUGGAGUGGGCUGAAGUGUUGAGAUUGUUGACUGGUAGAAGAGUGAAGGGUGAAGUCACGAGACAGGGAGAGGAAGAAGCUGUGUUCUCAGGCUGACCCUGUUCCUCUGUGGGGGUCUUCAAACUGGCUGCUAGAAUUCGGGGUCUGAAAAACAUCUUAAGCAAUCCUUAACCAAAAGCAUUAUGAUUCUAAUGUUAGAUAUCCUGUCUAUAGGAACAAUGAGGAUGCAAAUGGGCAGGAUCUGGUGCCAGCUGACUUUUAGCAACAAGGAAGUGGGCCUGAGUGCAGCCUGAUGAAUCCUUGAUUGUAACUAUAUUUUUGUCCAGAACCAUGGCAUGCAAUUCUUGUCAACCCUCUGGGAUUGGUUUCAAAGUGAUAACUUUGAAAAGAGAAAAUGGGGGUAUGUUGGCCAAUGAGGCCACAGCGAGCCUGACCUCACAGGGCCUUGUGUAGUAAAGGGUUAAUCUUACCCAAAGAGAGGUCUGGCCUUGGCUCUCUGCUCCUGGGAGGUGAUCUCUGUGGCCUUGCAAUGUCCUGCCUGGUAAAAGUGUUUUUUUUUACCUUGGGGCCUUGGGGUACACUGGAUUGUGAAACAAUAUGAUGGGGGCCUUAGGUCAUGUCAUAUCAGUUUGAUUUCUGGAGAAAGUUUUGAUUUCUGGAGGAAAACAAAACAUCAGCCAUGAAGACAGUCGACAAUAUCUAUGUAGUGAGCCUGAAGAAAAGCUCUAGAUACCAAGGCUCAGAUGACCUUUCCUGGUUGGCCAUACUCUGUGUGCAACAUCAUGCAUCGUGGCUGGGAGAAGACAGUGCUAUUUGUUGCUCCACUGGGAAAGGACCCCUGGGAGCUCCACGUGUGGAACUCUCUUGCACUUGGCCUCAUGCGUCUCUUCUCUUGGUGAAUUUAAUCUGUAUUCUUUCCCUGUAAGAAACCAUAACCGUGGGUAUAAUAGCUGUCAGUGAGCUCUGUGAAUAUUUUCAACAAGUUAUCAAAAAUUGAGGGUGGUCUUGG